rnacentral:rRNA from 1 species
GACGAACGCUGGCGGCGUGCUUAACACAUGCAAGUCGAACGGAAAGGCCCUGCUUUUGUGGGGUUCUCGAGUGGCGAACGGGUGAGUAACACGUGAGUAACCUGCCCCUGACUUUGGGAUAACUUCAGGAAACUGGGGCUCAUACCGGAUAGGAGCUCCUGCUGCAUGGUGGGGGUUGGAAAGUUUCGGCGGUUGGGGAUGGACUCGCGGCUUAUCAGCUUGUUGGUGGGGUAGUGGCUUACCAAGGCUUUGACGGGUAGCCGGCCUGAGAGGGUGACCGGCCACAUUGGGACUGAGAUACGGCCCAGACUCCUACGGGAGGCAACAGUGGGGAAUAUUGCACAAUGGGCGGGAGCCUGAUGCAGCAGCGCCGCGUGCGGGAUGACGGCCUUCGGGUUGUAAACCGCUUUCGCCUGUGACGAAGCGGGAGUGACGGUAAUGGGUAAAGAAGCACCGGCUAACUACGUG